AACGAACGCUGGCGGCAGGCUUAACACAUGCAAGUCGAACGCAUCCUUCGGGGUGAGUGGCAGACGGGUGAGUAACGCGUGGGAACGUGCCCUUCAGUUCGGGAUAACCCAGGGAAACUUGGGCUAAUACCGGAUACGAGCGCGAGCAGAAAGAUUUAUCGCUGAAGGAUCGGCCCGCGUCUGAUUAGCUAGUUGGUGGGGUAAUGGCCCGCCAAGGCGACGAUCAGUAGCUGGUCUGAGAGGAUGAUCAGCCACAUUGGGACUGAGACACGGCCCAAACUCCUACGGGAGGCAGCAGUGGGGAAUAUUGGACAAUGGGCGCAAGCCUGAUCCAGCCAUGCCGCGUGAGUGAUGAAGGCCUUAGGGUUGUAAAGCUCUUUCGUCCGGGACGAUAAUGACGGUACCGGAAGAAGAAGCCCCGGCUAACUUCGUGCCAGCCGCCGCCGUAA
rnacentral:rRNA from 1 species